AACCAUAUAUGGAACGAAUGAAACUAUGGCAAGUUGGAGCCUUGUCUACUAUAAUGUAAUCUGAAACUCAGUUUGGCUCUCACUAUAGCAAUUGGAUUAAGUUUAAAAACUUUAAACUUAGAACCAUACAAGAAGACUUAGAAAAUGAUCCGAAACAUCUGGAUGCACCAACAUAUCACACAUCUUCUUAUUUAUAUUUACACUUAUAAAAAAUGUACUACCCACACUGGUCUGUGUCCACACUUGUAAUAGUCUAAACAUAUAGGUUCAUCAUAUCUGAUGUUGACAACACGACAUGUUCAAUACCCGUCCACGUCCACUUGUACUUUUGUCCAUCUGAUGAGUUGAGCCUUUUUCAACUGAUUUUUAUAGUAAUGUUCGUUCUUAUGUUGUACUGUUAUACCACUGUCCCAGGUUAGGGAAGGAUUGGAAUCC
rnacentral:lncRNA from 1 species